rnacentral:rRNA from 1 species
GACGAACGCUGGCGGCGUGCUUAACACAUGCAAGUCGAACGGUAAGGCCCUUCGGGAUACACGAGUGGCGAACGGGUGAGUAACACGUGGGUGAUCUGCCCUGCACUUCGGGAUAAGCCUGGGAAACUGGGUCUAAUACCGGAUAGGACCACUGCCUGCAUGGGUGGUGGUGGAAAGCUUUUGCGGUGUGGGAUGGGCCCGCGGCCUAUCAGCUUGUUGGCGGGGUGAUGGCCUACCAAGGCGACGACGGGUAGCCGGCCUGGGAGGGUGACCGGCCAAACUGGGGCUUGGAUACGGCCCAGAGUCCUACGGGAGGCAGCAGUGGGGAAUAUUGCACAAUGGGAGCAAGCCUGAUGCAGCAACGCCGCGUGAGGGAUGACGGCCUUCGGGUUGUAAACCUCUUUCAGCACCGACGAAGCGCAAGUGACGGUAGGUGCAGAAGAAGGACCGGCCAACUACGAGCCAGCCGCCGCGGUAA